rnacentral:rRNA from 1 species
UGGGGAAUUUUGGACAAUGGGCGCAAGCCUGAUCCAGCCAUGCCGCGUGGAUGAUGAAGGCCUUAGGGUUGUAAAAUCCUUUCGUUGGGGACGAUAAUGACGGUACCCAAAGAAGAAGCUCCGGCUAACUUCGUGCCAGCAGCCGCGGUAAUACGAAGGGGGCUAGCGUUGUUCGGAUUUACUGGGCGUAAAGCGCGUGUAGGCGGAUUUGUAAGUUGGGGGUGAAAUCCCGAGGCUCAACCUCGGAACUGCCUCCAAAACUACAAGUCUGGACCUAAGUAGAGGCAAGUGGAAUUGCGAGUGUAGAGGUGAAAUUCGUAGAUAUUCGCAGGAACACCAGUGGCGAAGGCGACUUGCUGGACUUAUGGUGACGCUGAGACGCGAAAGCGUGGGGAGCAAACAGGAUUAGAUACCCGCGUAGUCCCUGAGCGGGCUGGCAAGGCGCAU